rnacentral:rRNA from 1 species
UACGAAGGGUGCAAACGUUGCUCGGAAUCAUUGGGCGUAAAGCGCACGUAGGCGGCCCGAUAAGUCGGAUGUGAAAUCCCUCGGCUCAACCGAGGACGUGCAUUCGAAACUGUCGGGCUCGAGUAUGGAAGAGGGUCGCGGAAUUCCCGGUGUAGAGGUGAAUUCGUAGAUAUCGGGAGGAACACCAGUGGCGAAGGCGGCGACCUGGGCCAAUACUGACGCUGAGGUGCGAAAGCGUGGAGAGCAAACAGGG